rnacentral:rRNA from 1 species
AAACUUUCAACAACGGAUCUCUUGGUUCUCGCAUCGAUGAAGAACGCAGCAAAUUGCGAUAAGUAAUGUGAAUUGCAGGAUUUUGUGAAUCAUCGAAUUUUUGAACGCACAUUGCACCUUCUGGUAUUCCGGAGGGUAUACCUGUUUGAGCGUCAUUUA